UUUACAAAACUGUAGGAUAAAUUUGACUUGAAUUUGAGUAUUCCGCAUAUUUUUCAUACCGUCGAUGACAUGGUCAAGGAGCGGUUCAAGGAGUACCGCGGUGACUUACACAAGCGGUACAAGCAGUGUGUGAGCCACGAGGAGGGCGUACAGUCCGCACCGCCGCACGUGAACCAUGAUGACUGACGGAUACUCUGCGAGAGAUUUACGUCUGAGUCUUUUCAGAAGAGCAGUAAAAUAAAUUCUGACAACAUGGGAAAGUUAGAAGUGAACCACGUAGCUGGUUCAAAGUCAUUUGUACAACUUCGUCACGACAUGUGAGAUUCCGUCACUGGCCAGGAGCCCGGACCAGUAGACCUCUACAGAGGGACUCACUGUCGGCAGGCGACGGGAUCUUGGGUACAUCCUACGGCCAGUGAGAAUUAGGUAAAAAUUCUUACAUUAUAAAUUUUAAUUGCAUUGAAUUAUAAUAAUGUCAUUUGUUAUGAAAAUUCAUAUGUUUUCAUUACAAGCGGCGAUGGACACCUUAAACAGUCAGCCCACUCCCGAUGGUACUCAGCAGAGUGAGCCAGAGAUCCUGAGUAAGGUGCUUAGCACCCGUUCUGGAUAUGUGCGUGGGUUUGGCCAUUGUGUCAAGCUCAUGGCACCCGCUAGAGCUGCCUCCAGCCGAUUCAUUGUCGUUGGCGACAGCGCUGUACGUCGAGCUGAUGUCGCAGAGAGAGAGAGGUUCAACAGCUACGGGUCGUCGUCCAUGACAUCCAAGAGCAGCUGGAGAGGCA